rnacentral:rRNA from 1 species
UACGAAGGGGGCUAGCGUUGCUCGGAAUCACUGGGCGUAAAGGGUGCGUAGGCGGUCCUUUAAGUCAGGGGUGAAAUCCCGGAGCUCAACUCCAGAACUGCCUUUGAUACUGAGGAUCUUGAGUUCGGGAGAGGUGAGUGGAACUGCGAGUGUAGAGGUGAAAUUCGUAGAUAUUCGCAAGAACACCAGUGGCGAAGGCGGCUCACUGGCCCGAUACUGACGCUGAGGCACGAAAGCGUGGGGAGCGAACAGG